rnacentral:rRNA from 12 species
UUUAAUUAUCCCUUGCCCGAUACCACCAGAUCUGGGAAGCUAAACCGGGCUGGGCCUGGUUAAUACUUGGAUGGGACAUUGCCUUGGAACACCAGGGGCUGUUAUAC